UCACUCCCUCACUUGGGGAAAAAAUCAGCGUCUUCUCAUCUUCUUCACUUUCUCUGUCUUCGAAUAAACUCUCUCCCUCUCUCUCUUCCAUAUCUUCCAAUCCGCUCGUUCACUUCUUGAUCAGACUCACACAUUGCAUUCUCCUCUUCAUCCGCACGAAAACCUUGGCAAUUGAUUGUUGAUUGUUGUUGGAUUGUGGUGUCCGAUUUCUCACUUCAAAUCUGGACAAGCUUGUGCAAAUGGAGCUACAAUCUAAGGCUUCAAUGGUUCUGAACGAAGCUGAGUAGAUCAACAGACUACAUAGAAGAUGGUCGCCGUCGCCGUCCCCGAGCAGAGAAGGACCGGGAGCAGAGUCAUCCGUCAGCGAGAGUGCCAGAGAGGCUGAGAGAGUGAAGAAUGAAGAAGAAUAAAGGUGAAACAGCUGUCAGCGAGAGUGUGAGUCAACUCGAAGAAGAAGAAGGGCUGGGUAGGGUUUGCUUUUUCUUUGAUGUGAUCUCGACUUCGACAGUUAAGAACUGAAGAACGAAGAAAGGUAAAACUGAAGUGAAGUUGUGGACUGGCAGGUCCUCGUGCGUGAAAGACUCUAACGAAGCGCAGCGUGUCAAAUUGUGUUGACAAAGAUAGUGGUGAAAGAGGAGUUGUGAAGGGGAACUUGUUAUUCAAGACACAAGGAGCGAGUCCGGCCGAGAAAGCACCAGAGGUGUAACUAUAGUGUGUGAGACACCAUCUUUUACGUUGCCUCUUAUUUUGGAUUAUACAAUGUAUCUUGUGCCAACUUAGGACAUAUUUUUUUUUUGGAGCAUGUAAACUCUAAUCCUUUUUAUUAAAAGUA